UACGAAGGGGGGCUAGCGUUGUUCGGAAUUACUGGGCGUAAAGCGCACGUAGGCGGAUUGUUAAGUUAGGGGUGAAAUCCCGGGGCUCAACCCCGGAACUGCCUUUAAUACUGGCAAUCUCGAGUCCGAGAGAGGUGAGUGGAAUUCCGAGUGUAGAGGUGAAAUUCGUAGAUAUUCGGAGGAACACCAGUGGCGAAGGCGGCUCACUGGCUCGGUACUGGACGCUGAGGUGCGAAAGCGUGGGGAGCAAACAGG
rnacentral:rRNA from 1 species